GAUGAACGCUGGCGGCGUGCCUAACACAUGCAAGUCGAACGGAGAUUACGGACGGAAGUUUUCGGAUGGAAGCCUGUACUUCUUAGUGGCGGACGGGUGAGUAACGCGUGGGCAACCUGCCCUAUACAGGGGGAUAGCAGCUGGCAACGGCUGGUAAGACCGCAUAAGUCGGUUAAAUCGCAUGAUUUGAUCGGGAAAUGAGCAAUCAGGUAUAGGAUGGGCCCGCGUCCGAUUAGCCAGUUGGCAGGGUAAAAGCCUACCAAAGCGACGAUCGGUAGCCGGACUGAGAGGUCGGACGGCCACAUUGGGACUGAGACACGGCCCAAACUCCUACGGGAGGCAGCAGUGGGGGAUAUUGCACAAUGGAGGAAACUCUGAUGCAGCGACGCCGCGUGAGUGAAGAAGUAUUUCGGUAUGUAAAGCUCUAUCAGCAGGGAAGAUGAUGACGGUACCUGACGAAGAAGCCCCGGCUAACUACGUG
rnacentral:rRNA from 1 species